rnacentral:rRNA from 1 species
UACGUAGGUGGCAAGCGUUGUCCGGAGUUAUUGGGCGUAAAGCGCGCGCAGGCGGUGCGGUAAGUCUCUGGUGAAAGCGCUCGGCUUAACUGGGCGAGGGCCGGGGAGACUGCCACGCUGGAGGGGAGCAGAGGCGAGUGGAAUUCCGGGUGUAGUGGUGAAAUGCGUAGAGAUCCGGAGGAACACCAGUGGCGAAGGCGGCUCGCUGGGCUCUACCUGACGCUGAGGCGCGAAAGCGUGGGGAUCAAACAGG